ensembl:snRNA U6 U6 spliceosomal RNA
GUGCUCACUUCAGCAGCACAUAUACUAAAAUUGGAACAGUGCAGAGAUUAACAUUGUCCCUGCGCAAGGAUGGAAUGAGUAUGUACUGCAAAGUGAUUAU